GACGAACGCUGGCGGCGUGCUUAACACAUGCAAGUCGAACGGAAAGGCCCUGCUUUUGUGGGGUGCUCGAGUGGCGAACGGGUGAGUAACACGUGAGUAACCUGCCCUUGACUUUGGGAUAACUUCAGGAAACUGGGGCUAAUACCGGAUAGGAGCUCCUGCAGCAUGGUGGGGGUUGGAAAGUUUCGGCGGUUGGGGAUGGACUCGCGGCAUAUCAGCUUGUUGGUGGGGUAGUGGCUUACCAAGGCUUGGCCGGGUGGCCGGCCUGAGAGGAUGACCGGCCACAUUGGGAGUGAGAUACGGCCCAGACUCCUACGGGAGGCAGCAGUGGGGAAUAUUGCACAAUGGGCGGAAGCCUAAUGCAGCAACGCCGCGUGCGGGAUGACGGCCUUCGGGUUGUAAACCGCUUUCGCCUGUGACGAAGCGUGAGUGACGGUAAUGGGUAAAGAAGCACCGGCUAACUACGUG
rnacentral:rRNA from 1 species